UGGGGAAUUUUGGACAAUGGGCGAAAGCCUGAUCCAGCAAUGCCGCGUGUGUGAAGAAGGCCUUCGGGUUGUAAAGCACUUUUGUCCGGAAAGAAAUCCUUGGCUCUAAUACAGUCGGGGGAUGACGGUACCGGAAGAAUAAGCACCGGCUAACUACGUGCCAGCAGCCGCGGUAAUACGUAGGGUGCAAGCGUUAAUCGGAAUUACUGGGCGUAAAGCGUGCGCAGGCGGUUUGCUAAGACCGAUGUGAAAUCCCCGGGCUCAACCUGGGAACUGCAUUGGUGACUGGCAGGCUAGAGUAUGGCAGAGGGGGGUAGAAUUCCACGUGUAGCAGUGAAAUGCGUAGAGAUGUGGAGGAAUACCGAUGGCGAAGGCAGCCCCCUGGGCCAAUACUGACGCUCAUGCACGAAAGCGUGGGGAGCAAACAGGAUUAGAUACCCUGGUAGUCCCACGCCCUAAACGAUGUCAACUAGUUGUUGGGGAUUCAUUUUCCUUAGUAACGUAGCUAACGCGUGAAGUUGACCGCCUGGGGAGUACGGUCGCAAGAUUAAAACUCAAAUGAAUUGACGGGGUCAUAGCUGUUUCCU
rnacentral:rRNA from 1 species